GGGUGUGAGGGCGAUCUGGCUGCGACAUCUGUCAUCCCAUUGAUCGCCAGGUUUGAUUCGGCUGAUCUGGCUGGCUAGGUGGGUGUCCACUUCCUCCCUCAGUGAUCCAUGUGGCGCACUCGGUCGAAGAGGAUGAUCACCCCCGAUAGAGGAGGACCAUUCCUCAGUCAAGGAUAUACAAGUAGCUGUGCUCCCCUGCUAGAACCUCCAAACAAAUCACUGUAUUUUCCAUGACUUUUCAGAUAUUUCUGAAUAGGUUAUCUAAAAAUGGCUGUAUAUUAUAUGUCUUUAAGUAUAGGGUCAAGUA
rnacentral:sRNA from 1 species